rnacentral:rRNA from 1 species
AUGGCGGCAGCGCUUCGUUCUGCGGCGAGGAAGAUCUGCGGUCACGCCUUUGAGCGACCGCAUGCGCUUCUCAGGACGGCCGCUUCAGCUGCCAUCAAGGAGGAACAGUGGCGGCUGCUGGCAAGGAUUGGCCAUGGCCGAAGCUCACUUCGCCGGUUCACCUCCUCCGAGUCACCAAGUUUUCUUAAUAAUAAGAACAAGAUAUUUUUCUCAAAAAGGAAUGAAUGGUCUUAUGAAACACAAUGCUUCUUCAAAUCUUCUGGUUAUGAGAUGGUUAUCAAGCGAGCGGUCAUUGAAGUCGCGCUCGUGUAG